GAUCAAUCGAGUUAAUUGUUACUGGAGCUACGAGCGAGCGAAAUGUUGUGUUGCCCUUGUUUCCCCUUUAGGAAGCGCAAGAAAGUCCGUCCAGAGCCAGUGCCAGAGGCGGCGAUUCCCAGACCUCAGAGGGUCCGCCCCAUCCUCAGGAGGCUGAGGAAGUUCCUGAAAAAGGAACAAGCCCUUGUGGCAGAGGACUCUGUACGGGAGGCCCAGACAACAGGGUCAGAGGUCACCCCUCACAUCCCCUCAGAGGUCUCAGACACUCUUAUCACACCUAGUCCAAAUGCCCUUCAAGAGACUGCGAAGGAGGAGACUAAGGUGAUCAAGGCCAUCCUCCAUGAGGACCCUGUUAAAAUGGAGGACCUCGAAAGAGAGG
ensembl:lncRNA